rnacentral:rRNA from 1 species
GUCUACAGCCAUACCACCCUGAACAAGCCCAAUGUCUGAUCUUGGAAGCUAAGCAGGGUUGGACUUGGUUAGUACUUGAAUAGGAGACCACCUACCAAGACCAGGUGCCGUAGGCG